rnacentral:rRNA from 1 species
GACGAACGCUGGCGGCGUGCUUAACACAUGCAAGUCGUACGGUAAGGCCCUUUCGGGGGUACACGAGUGGCGAACGGGUGAGUAACACGUGAGUAACCUGCCCACAACUUUGGGAUAACGCUAGGAAACUGGUGCUAAUACUGGAUAUUUGCUCCUGCUGCAUGGUGGGGGUUGGAAAGCUCCGGCGGUUGUGGAUGGACUCGCGGCCUAUCAGCUUGUUGGUGGGGUAGUGGCCUACCAAGGCGGCAACGGGUAGCCGGCCUGAGAGGGUGACCGGCCACAUUGGGACUGAGAUAGGGCCCAGACUCCUACGGGAGGCAGAAGUGGGGAAGAUUGAAAAAUGGGCGCAAGCCUGAUGCAGCAACGCCGCGUGCGGGAUGACGGCCUUCGGGUUGUAAACCGAUUUCAGCAGGGACGAAGCUUUUUGGGACGGUACCUGCAGAAGAAGCACCGGCUAACUACGU